rnacentral:lncRNA from 1 species
GUCAAAUUAAGUGUCCAUAGAGUGCAGAAUGGAACGUUUUAACUCCCAACCAAUGUUCCCAUAGAACUGUAUGUUCUGGUUUCCAUGACAGGCCAGUGAAUUCAGUGGUGACAACAUUAAUCUGUCUGUUACUUGUGCCUGAGACAGUCUGUUUUGUAGAGCUCCCAGAAUGUUGCCAUGCUAACAGCCAGCAGCGUGUGUAUUGCAUCAUUCUAAUUCCUACCUCAAAAUGAUGGACUGGGAUAAGCAGUGCCUGGUAUAAAGCUCUAAGGAAGCUACUGAGACUUUCAUUUUUUGUCUUAAAGCCUGGAGUCUUGUGAUUCAGCAUGUGUAUAGGAUAGCUGCUUUACUGUUCUAAGAGAGGGAGAAACAAAGGUCUAAAGGUCUCUCUCUGCACUUAGCCGCAUCAGGUUAUAUGAGGGCAGAUAUGACUCCUGAAUCCUCAAGCUGAUGAAAAGCAGAAGAGCAAGUGGGCUACAGAGUCUGUCUCUGCUGACAAGUGGUAUCAGUGAUAAGCUCGGAGUGAACCAAAGGAUGAAUUUAUCAAGAUUCUUGUUCCUUUUCCGGGCAAGUGCUGGCCAUGCCAUGGACUGCAGUCUGAGAAAG